ACUAAAACUGGCAAAACCCUCUGGUUUGACACGACCUCUCGGCUCGUCGAGACAUUCAACACUUGCACACCCACUCACAUGGCAAAUUUUGCCUUCUUCAAAAAUAGCCAGUAACGUGUGGCCUAUACAGAACGAUGCGUUUUUUCGUACUGCCUGGACAAUACUAGACAGUUGUUGUACAAAGGAUCUGUGAUUGACGUACAAAGGAACAAGAACUUCCAUACAAAAGAACAGUUAUUGAGGGUCAAAGGAACAAGGAUUUCCAUACCAAAGAACAGUGGCUGAGGUAGAAAGGAACAGUGACUGCGGAGGAAAGAUGACUGGAACUUGUUUAUAGCGAUGUCUGUGUUUAUGAUGAAAUCACAUUUCAUUUGUUAAAAAAACAACACUUUUAGAAAGGAGCGUUAUAUCAUUUACUUUGUUAUUCUAACAUAUGUUUCACUUUUGUUGCUUUUUUUUUCAAUCUGAAAUUUAAAAGGAUUAAUAACGAUGUAUAUUAUAUAUACUACUAAUAAAUAUGAAAAUUCGUCUUAA